rnacentral:lncRNA from 1 species
GUAAAAAUAGUAUGUCUAGGGUGGGUGGCCCACCCACUGAUCCUCCUGCUGGUGAGAAGCCAGGCAGCCCAGAGCAAGCUAGAGUGUCCAGGCUGACCCAAGGGGAGGCUGGGGUCUCUCCAAGGUGUCCAUGAGCAAUAGCUGUAGCACACAGCCUGUCUCCUGGGUGGCUUGGUGAACAUAAGCACAAGCACAAAUUCUAGGGGAUGUGAGAUGACCUGAGACAGAUCAAAUCACAGGGCUCCUAUCACGACUGUGGUGAUCAUCCUAGAACCUCAGUGCCCAGAGCUUCAGGGCCUUCCUCUCUAUAUGCUUUCACUCCUUCAGCCUGCAAGGGUCAGAUAUGCCAUCAAAACAAUGACCUCUUCUUUUUUUCCUUUGUAUUUUGAUAAACACUAAAGAUGGAGCUGUUCAACUUUAUCUUGGGGAAACCCUCAGCACUGGUUUAUUUGGUGUCCUGGAACCUCUACUGCUUUCAAUAUAUGGCUUGACUUCGUUGCUGCCUCGCUUCCAGCCAGCCGACAGACUUCCCCAUGCUCAUGCGCAUAGUGGAAGACCUGGACCAGCCACAGAGUUUCGUCCACAGAGUGCCCCACAGGCAAAUUGUUGACAGUGACCUGGC